rnacentral:rRNA from 1 species
UACGUAGGGGGCAAGCGUUGUCCGGAUUUAUUGGGCGUAAAGAGCGUGUAGGCGGCCAAGCAGGUCCGCUGUGAAAACUCGAGGCUCAACCUCGAGACGUCGGUGGAAACCGUUUGGCUAGAGUCCGGAAGAGGAGAGUGGAAUUCCCGGUGUAGCGGUGAAAUGCGCAGAUAUCGGGAAGAACACCCGUGGCGAAGGCGGCUCUCUGGGACGGUACCGACGCUGAGACGCGAAAGCGUGGGGAGCGAACAGG